rnacentral:siRNA from 1 species
CAGUAGACUGGAUUGACACCCC